rnacentral:rRNA from 1 species
UACGUAGGGAGCAAGCGUUGUCCGGAAUCAUUGGGCGUAAAGCGCGCGUAGGCGGCCUUGUAAGUCCGUUGUGAAAGUCAAAGGCUCAACCUUUGAAAGCCGAUGGAUACUGCAAGGCUGGAGUUCGGAAGAGGCGAGUGGAAUUCCUGGUGUAGCGGUGAAAUGCGCAGAUAUCAGGAGGAACACCAAUGGCGAAGGCAGCUCGCUGGGACGUGACUGACGCUGAGACGCGAAAGCGUGGGGAGCAAACAGG